CGCUACUUGUGUAGCAUCAGUGGCCGAGCGCUCCGCGGGCCCCAGACCGGCCGGGAUCCUGAGCACGAGCGCGCCACGCUGCCUUCUCAUAUGGUUUCUCUGCGGGGCCCGCAGCUCCUCCAGGCCAGACAGGCGGCCCAUCCUUCCUAGGCUUUACGGAUUUCCGGGGGCGACGAAUUUUGCCUCGGUCCCUACGAGCAUCUCCCGCUUCGCUCCCCCGCCCCUCGCGACUCCCCCCACCCCUGGGCGCGCGCGCGCACACUCACUCACACUCGCAGGCGCGCGUGCGCACGCCCGCGCGCCCCGAGCCGCGGAGUCUCCAGCGCCCCUGAGCAGAUCCCACUCUCCCGGGCGCUGCUACUCACACAGGCUUCUAGCCGCCACGGGGCGUCCUCUGUCUGCGGCAGCGGUGGCGGCGCGAGCGGAGGCUGCAGUCUAGCCCGGUCUGGCUGCUCUGCGCCCUGGACAGAGUCCGGCAGAAGCGGGAUCGAGAGGAGAAGCCGAGGCGAGGAGGAGCCGCGCCGCGCCCGGCGCUCGCUUGCCUCGAAUCCCCGCACCGCGGCCCCAGGUCCUUGGCAGCCAGCACCAUAGUGUGUUGACAAUACGAGGAGAAGAGAGACAGAGAGAGCAAGAGAGAGAGAGAGAGUGCGAGCUCACAGUGCUCAGACUGUGACUCCCAGAAGCGGAUGAGCUUGUUUGGCGAGCGGUGGUGGAAGGAAGAACAGAUCCCAUAAACAUCCUGGCUCGUUCCAAGCACAGGGCUGAGAUGCUGGGACAGACUUGCCAUGCCCCAAGGAAGCGAGCAGCCUGCUAAUUUGACUGCUGCUCAAAUGAGGACACCCAGAGGAAUGGUUGAAACUGAAGAAUUCUCCUUGCAGGUCAAACAGUGGCAUCAGUGCAUCGGUCGGUGGUCUCUGUGUGGAAAGUCUCACAGUUGUCAGAAAGGCACUUAUGGAGAUGAUGUCAGAGCAAACCUCAUACUGAGCUGAUCCUCUGGAAAAGUACUUUGUAGGCUCUUUGGGUGAUCUUCUGGGCAGUUCAGCUCCAGGCUGCUUUCCCAGCACCCAGAAUGGUCCACAGGCACAAUCCUCCAAGCAG
ensembl:lncRNA